UCCUCGUUUAAGCGAGGCAGUCUGUCCAGAGUGCUUCGAACUCUCGUCCGAGUGGCAACAGGACACAAGGGUUGCGCUCGUUGCGGGACUUAACCCAACAUCUCACGACACGAGCUGACGACAGCCAUGCAGCACCUGUGUUCCCGUUCCCUUUCGGGCACACCCGGCUUUCACCGGGCUUCAGGACAUGUCAAGGGUAGGUAAGGUUUUUCGCGUUGCAUCGAAUUAAUCCACAUAAUCCACCGCUUGUGCGGGUCCCCGUCAAUUCCUUUGAGUUUUAAUCUUGCGACCGUACUCCCCAGGCGGUCGACUUCACGCGUUAGCUGCGGUACUAAGGAGGUCUCCUUCCCCAACACCUAGUCGACAUCGUUUAGGGCGUGGACUAC
rnacentral:misc_RNA from 1 species